CGGGCUGCGGCCGUGGCGCCCUCCUGGCCGGCCCGAGGGCGCGGCUCGCUCUCCUUCCCCAUCUCCUUCUCCAGGACGCCUGCCCUCCCGGCUCCCGAUCCCGAGCAGCGGCUGGCUGGGCCACAUUUUAGCCUUCCAGGAUGGCCAGGCACCAGGCUUGUGGCAAAAGGAGCUGGGAGAGAUUUGGAGCCUGUAGCGUAACUCGAGGUGCCCCAGUCACCCGUGAGAGGUCUUCCUUUGGGCACACACGGGUGCAGGGAAGAGGAAAGAACGCGGGGAGCCUCUGGGACUUGGAUGUUGAGAGGGCAUAAGGAGAGAUUCUGAGCUGAGGUCACUGCUCCGGUGACCUGGCCACGUGUGAAGGGAGAGUCUGGGGGUGGGGGUGGGGUUCAACUACAAAGAGGGGUCUAAAAAAGGCAAAUCUUGAAUACUGCAAACCCUGGUACCUGCGGAGGCGACAGGCAAUCAGCAAACUGAGUUACAUAAUUGGUUAACUUCUUUUGAAAAAUAAUGAAAGUAUUUAUACACACACAUACAUGUACUCACAUAUAUGUGAGCACCGGAUGUAUAUGUAUAUGCAUAUAUGCAUAUAUAUCAGAUAUAUACGUGUGUAUAUGCAUACAUGUAUAUAUCUUCAUAUACAUAGAUACAUAAAUAUUCUGUUACUGCUUUUGCUUAAAAAUAAAAAUCCACCCCUAAAUUCCCAAAACAGUCCCAAAGACUUUAAGCAAAGGUCAUCAGCCUGCCUAAGUGUAUUAAUUGAUGUGUUCACCAGAGGCUUACCAGCUGUGAACUGUCUCAACCGACCAGAAGCAGAAGAUUCCAAGAAAAGUGUGGACUCAAAGCCAUCUGAUUGAGCGGCUUGUGAAGAGGGCUUUGCAAAGCAUUCCACCAACCCACACUGGAUGCAGAAGUGCAAAAAACUCCUUGUUCGGUGCUCUGACUGGUGAAGGCAUGCAGCCUAUGAGACUUCCUGGAAAUCUUCCAAGAAAGCAAACUGUCCUUGUGAUUGUUGAAGGGCUCAGCUAACUCCUUCUGAACCUGGAAACUUCUUUUCAUUCUCCCAGGAUUGGAGCUUAAGAACCUAGUUGGGACCUAAGGAAGAUGUUUACAAAGACAUCUACAGAAAUGUCUAUGGCCGUUAGGCUGUCUUCACAUAGAUAAGAGGUUGUUGGAGAGAGGACAAGAGAGAGCACACGCUAUUGGAGGGGGUUGAAGAAGACCCCACAUGCAUGGAAAUUCUGAAAGAAUGACUGAAAAAGAAAAGAAUUGAAAUAAUCAAAGGGGACCCUCCAGUAAAAUACACCUUUCAUGUUAAGACUCACCUCUUUAACUAGCUGUCACCUGAUCAAGCCUUAAUUCAAGUGGAAUUUUAUCAUCACAGUAACACCCCUUUCUUCUCUGCACACUUCCAGGUGCUUGUGUUUUCUGGCUUCUCUCUGGGCUGCUUCAGUUUCCUACAUUAAAUCAUGGUCUUCUGAUCAGACUUUAAACUAACCAUGUGAACCGAUUGUAUGCCUUAAACAAAGAAUUAAAUGCUUUCCACCUUACCGAGUAUGUAGUUUUAUUGUGCAAACUUUUUUCCAGGGCGCUUACCCAAGGCGACACCAAUGGCAGACCAGCAUAGCUGGGUGAAAUGGUGAGUUUAUUCAGCUUGUUCUCAGGAGCAUGAGUGAUCCCCCAAACAGCCAGGUCACUGAGUUAUCACUCUGCCUCGAAAGAUGACAUGUCCACAGCCUCGCAGACCGAGUCCCAUCCUACAGACUGAACCUUAAAUCCAAUUAGAGAGUAGCUAGCUGUAACCAUAACAGGACACUUCCAGGAAGCACGAGGGAGGGACACCCUCCCCCAGUAGGUGGAACCUUCCAGAAGUUAUCUCAGAUACAAAGAGAUCCAAAGAGGCC
ensembl:lncRNA